AUGCAAGAAAUCUCACGGUGGUGGUGGUGUUGUAGAUCCGAGCGGAGGAGAUCUGAAACAGAGAUAGGUCGGUAUAUUGUGUGUUUUGCGUUAGAGGUUGGCCGUUCUGACAGCGGCGUGAUGGUUGAUGUGAGCGAUGUGAAAGGCGGCUCGGGCUUGGCAGCGGAUCGAAGUGGAGUUUCUUCGUUUCUUUUUUCUGUAUAA